GGGGCUGUGGCUCAGUGAUAGAGCGCUCGCCUAGCAUGCAUGAGAUGUUGGGUUCGAUCCUCACCACCACCA
rnacentral:tRNA from 1 species